rnacentral:ncRNA from 1 species
GCAAGCACGAUGAGCAGGAAGUUGAUUGUAUACAGGCUUCAGAGAGCCGGCGGCAGGUGUGAGCCGGUGCAGGUAACAGUUGAUUCCGCCUGGGAGUGGCUGAUGAUGAAUCUGACGGGUCCGCCCGGUAUAGCGGCAAAAGUUGGCUGAAAGGCAACAUGGGUGGCAACGCGGGAAAAUAGCUCUCGUCCCUGGU